GUGCAGGUAGCUUAGUUGGCAAAGCCCCAGGAUGUGACCCUGGUAGUCGGCGGUUCGAGGCCGCUUCUGCACC
rnacentral:tRNA from 1 species